UACGUAGGGUGCGAGCGUUAAUCGGAAUUACUGGGCGUAAAGCGUGCGCAGGCGGUUUUGUAAGACAGAUGUGAAAUCCCCGGGCUCAACCUGGGAACUGCAUUUGUGACUGCAUCGCUGGAGUGCGGCAGAGGGGGAUGGAAUUCCGCGUGUAGCAGUGAAAUGCGUAGAUAUGCGGAGGAACACCGAUGGCGAAGGCAAUCCCCUGGACCUGCACUGACGCUCAUGCACGAAAGCGUGGGGAGCAAACGGG
rnacentral:rRNA from 1 species